AUGAACGCUAGCGAUAGGCUUAACACAUGCACGUCGAGGGGCAGCAUGGUCUUAGCUUGCUAAGACUGAUGGCGACCGGCGCACGGGUGCGUAACGCGUAUGCAACUUGCCUCACAGAGGGGGAUAACCCGUCGAAAGACGGACUAAUACCGCGUACACUUGGGAUAGGGCAUCCUGACCCAAGGAAAUGAAAUUCGCUGUGAGAUAGGCAUGCGUCCCAUUAGCUAGUUGGUGAGGUAACGGCUCACCAAGGCGACGAUGGGUAGGGGAACUGAGAGGUUGAACCCCCACACUGGUACUGAGACACGGACCAGACUCCUACGGGAGGCAGCAGUGAGGAAUAUUGGUCAAUGGGCGAGAGCCUGAACCAGCCAAGUCGCGUGAAGGAUGACUGUCUUAUGGAUUGUAAACUUCUUUUAUACGGGAAUAACAAGAGUCACGUGUGGCUCCCUGCAUGUACCGUAUGAAUAAGCAUCGGCUAACUCCGUG
rnacentral:rRNA from 1 species